UUUAUUACUUCGCGCCCUUUCAAAUAAAAUUAUUGUAUAGGGAGCAAUAAAUUGAUUUUGUUCUCUUCUUUUGCUAUUUAUCGAUUCGAUUUUGAGAUUGUAUCGACUUUCGACACAACAUUAUGUAACCGCGGCCCUGCAUCAAACAUACAAACGGUGAUCGUUGAUGUCAUUGGUCGUGCUACAUUAUAGGUGUGUCUGGUUACUUUUCCAGCAAGAAUUGUCCAGCAACUUCUUUCUGAGAGAGUAAGGUAGUUUAUUCUCUUUUGCAAGGAAAAUGCGAAAAGUAAACAGACGAUAUUCCUGCAGAAGCUUGCAACUAAUCAGCUGAUUUAUCAAAACAAACCAAUUUGUCCCCCAUAAGGAGAAUUAAAACAAAGGAACCAAUACUAAUUUUACAAGUUUUUUAAAUAAAAAUGUUGGAAAUAGUCUUUUAUUUUCUUAUUACAUAUUAACAUUUACGUUUUUCACAUUUUGUAAAGUUGUUCUCCAAAAACAAUUAGUCUUGCUUAUUCCAAAACAAUAUUUUAAAACUAAAAUCACAAAAAGAAGUAAAUAAACAAUAGAAAACAUCUGAUUGAAUGUCGAUGAAUGAGAAGAAGAAGAGUUGCAAGAGAUUGCAAGAAGAAAUUUUUCCAGCAAGAAUUUGCAAACUCUAGCUGAAAGAACUGUCAAAAUUUCUCUCUCCAACCGCUCUCUUUUGCAGAACUUUCGGGUUAACAGACGACUUCCAGUAACAAUUUGUAACAAUUGUUACAAACUUUAGGGUAACCAGACACACCUUAUGUCGAAAAUAUAUUUCCAUAACCCUGUUACUCAAAAUCGAAUUAAAUAGCAAAACAAAGAACAAAAUCAAUUUCGUGUUCCCUAUACAAUAAUUUUAUUUUAACAUUAGAACAAAAUCAACGUAAAUGGAUAAUGUUUGGAAAAUAUUGACCAUUUGCAGUGUUUCUCACAAUGAAAAUCUUGCUUACCUGAGGAGUAAAAUGAAAUCAAAUGCCAGGAAGCUCAGUUCAUCAAAAUUCAAUGGAAAGUAUUUUUUCAUGUUUAAAAACUACCUACAAUUGUGCGGAAUUUAAGAAACACUUCGCUUGGAGUACCUGAAAUCAUUGGAUCAAAAGAAGAAAAUCAUGGAAAUGACGAGUGCCCAUAUGCUGCUUGUCUUCAAGAGUUUAUUGAAAUUCAUGAUUUGAGUACAAACUUUUUUGCUUGUUGCGUAUUAAUGUGUGUUUUGAUCAAUUUAUCAACAUCCAAAUUAUGUUAUAAAACAGUGAUAAAAAAUUUUGGAUUAUUGUUCUUAAAAGAAACAAAACACUGUUGUGUUGUUCUUAAAAAUGCAUAUGGUUAUUUCCCAUAUACUUUCGGUGACCAAUAAUUUUGGUUGAAAAUAGAGUACAUCGGCUGAAAAGUUGCGACCCCAUAUAGGACAAAAAUAAAUGUAAAUUAUUUGGAGCUACACUUGAAUAGUGGAAACCCACCUGUCUAACACCCAAAAAAUCUUUAUUUAAAUUCCUGACCAGAAUAUCACAAACCGGGUGCUCUGCUCAUAAGUCUUAUUUAUGUCUUUGUGUUUGCGGAAGUCCAUGCACUUAUAUAUGCAUUAUUAUACCCUCCACCAUACAUAGUAUGGAGGGUAUAUUAAGUUUGUCAUUCCGUUUGUAACACCUCGAAAUAUACAUUUUAGACCCCACAAAGUAUAUAUAUUCUUGAUCAGCGUAAAAUAAGUUUACUCUAUUAUAGUGAACAGUACUUUUUUUGGUUUGCGUUCCAUAUUUUAUUAACGUACUUUAUGUGUCCUCUUUUUUAUUGCUGGUUCUCGUUGUCCACUAUGUUGAUUUGUUUAAAGUCAUAGAAGCGCAGGUGAGGUUUUAAAUGAAGAAAAUCGUUAAGACAGUAAGUAGUAAUUUCGGCCGUGCCGAACUAUUUAUACCCUUAACCACUAUGUUUAUCAAUGUUGAUUGUGGCAGAAACUUUCAAAAUACCGAAAUUCGGGAGGUACCGAUGUAUGGGGGCUAUACGGAAACGGGGACCAGCAUAGGCAAUUUUCUAUCAUAGGCUGUAAUACCCAUUUCGGACUUCAAAUACGAAAUUUGGAACAGUUCCGGUUAAUAAUGUCGCUAAAAUCAUCAAAAUACCGAAUAUCGGGAUGUACCGUUAUAUGGGUGCUAUACGAAGCCGUGGACCUGAAUGUGCAAUUUUGUGUCAUAUGCUGUAGAACCUAUUCCGAACUUCAUAUACGAAAUUUGGAACAGUUCCGGUUAAUAUGUAGCUUAAAUCAUCGAAAUACCGAAUAUUGGGAGGUACAGUUAUAUGGGAGCUAUACGAAAACGUGGGCCGACAUGGCCCAUUUACGAACUUAACAUGCCUACUGACAAAAUAAACAUGUGUGCAAAAUUUUAACCUUCUAUCUCAUUUCGUUCGAAUGAUAGCGUAAUUACAACAGACAGACAGACGGACAUCGAUAAAUCGACUUAGAAUUUUACGAUGAUCCAAAAUAUAUAUACUUUGUGGGGUCUAACAUGAGAAUUUCGAGGAGUUACAAACGGAAUGACAAACUUAAUAUACCCUCCAUAGUAUGGCGGAGGGUAUAAAAACACUUUCUAUUAAAGUUUCGAUUUUAACACUUAGGCAGAAAAGGAAACUUGUUGAACUAAGUUUUAAUAACAGCAGCAUUUGGGGUAAUUGGGACCAGGCAAGGCUAAAUUCAAUCAAACAAAAUAAUGCACAUAUAAGUGCAUUCACUCUUAUGAUCAGUGCACACGAUCCAUAUAUAGGCCGACUCUUAUCGCGGAGUUCGUACGGCGCGACAUUCAAAACCUCAUAGAGAGAGGUUUGUGAUAUUCUGGUCAGGAAUUUAAAUCCGUGCCAGACAGGUAGGCUUUCCACUAUUCCAAAUAAUUUACAUUUAUUUUUGUCCUACAUGGGGUCACAACUUUUGAGUCGAUGUCUAAAUGUACUCUAUUUUCAACCAAAAAUGUUGGUCACCGUAAGAAUAGAUGAAAUAACCAUAUACAUUUUUAAAAACAACACAAAAAUUUUUGGUUUUAUUUUACUAAUAAAUAUUCAUAAAAUAUUAUUACUGUUUUUAAAACAUAAUUUGGAUGUUAUUGAAAAAUUGAUCAAAACACACAUUAAUGAAGUGUUCCUUAAAUUCCGCACAAGGUGUAGGUAGUUUUUAACAAAUAUAAAAAACCUGCAAAAGAAAAAUGCUUAAUAUUUGCAAACGAUGAUCAACGAACAUGCACUUAAACUUUCCAUUUGAAUUUCGAUGAACUGGGCCUCCUGGCAUUUGAUUUUAUUUUACUCCUCAGGUAAGCAAGAUUUUCAUUGUGAAAAACACUGUAAAUGGUCAAUAUUUUUCAAACGUUAUCCAUUUACGUAUAUUUUGUUCCAAUGUUUUGUUUAUUACUUCGCGCCCUUUCAAAUAAAAUUAUUGUAUAGGGAGCAAUAAAUUGAUUUUGUUCUCUUCUUUUGCUAUUUAUCGAUUCGAUUUUGAGAUUGUAUCGACUUUCGACACAACAUUAUGUAACCGCGGCCCUGCAUCAAACAUACAAACGGUGAUCGUUGAUGUCAUUGGUCGUGCUACAUUAUAGGUGUGUCUGGUUACUUUUCCAGCAAGAAUUGUCCAGCAACUUCUUUCUGAGAGAGUAAGGUAGUUUAUUCUCUUUUGCAAGGAAAAUGCGAAAAGUAAACAGACGAUAUUCCUGCAGAAGCUUGCAACUAAUCAGCUGAUUUAUCAAAACAAACCAAUUUGUCCCCCAUAAGGAGAAUUAAAACAAAGGAACCAAUACUAAUUUUACAAGUUUUUUAAAUAAAAAUGUUGGAAAUAGUCUUUUAUUUUCUUAUUACAUAUUAACAUUUACGUUUUUCACAUUUUGUAAAGUUGUUCUCCAAAAACAAUUAGUCUUGCUUAUUCCAAAACAAUAUUUUAAAACUAAAAUCACAAAAAGAAGUAAAUAAACAAUCUGAUUGAAUGUCGAUGAAUGAGAAGAAGAAGAGUUGCAAGAGAUUGCAAGAAGAAAUUUUUCCAGCAAGAAUUUGCAAACUCUAGCUGAAAGAACUGUCAAAAUUCCUCUCUCCAACCGCUCUCUUUUGCAGAACUUUCGGGUUAACAGACGACUUCCAGUAACAAUUUGUAACAAUUGUUACAAACUUUAGGGUAACCAGACACACCUUAUGUCGAAAAUAUAUUUCCAUAUCCCUGUUACUCAAAAUCGAAUUAAAUAGCAAAACAAAGAACAAAAUCAAUUUCGUGUUCCCUAUACAAUAAUUUUAUUUUAACAUUAGAACAAAAUCAACGUAAAUGGAUAAUGUUUGGAAAAUAUUGACCAUUUGCAGUGUUUCUCACAAUGAAAAUCUUGCUUACCUGAGGAGUAAAAUGAAAUCAAAUGCCAGGAAGCUCAGUUCAUCAAAAUUCAAUGGAAAGUAUUUUUUCAUGUUUAAAAAACUACCUACAAUUGUGCGGAAUUUAAGAAACACUUCGCUUGGAGUACCUGAAAUCAUUGGAUCAAAAGAAGAAAAUCAUGGAAAUGACGAGUGCCCAUAUGCUGCUUGUCUUCAAGAGUUUAUUGAAAUUCAUGAUUUGAGUACAAACUUUUUUGCUUUUUGCGUAUUAAUGUGUGUUUUGAUCAAUUUAUCAACAUCCAAAUUAUGUUAUAAAACAGUGAUAAAAAUUUUGGAUUAUUGUUCUUAAAAGAAACAAAACACUGUUGUGUUGUUCUUAAAUAUGCAUAUGGUUAUUUCCCAUAUACUUUCGGUGACCAAUAAUUUUGGUUGAAAAUAGAGUACAUCGGCUGAAAAGUUGCGACCCCAUAUAGGACAAAAAUAAAUGUAAAUUAUUUGGAGCUACACUUGAAUAGUGGAAACCCACCUGUCUAACACCCAAAAAAUCUUUAUUUAAAUUCCUGACCAGAAUAUCACAAACCGGGUGCUCUGCUCAUAAGUCUUAUUUAUGUCUUUGUGUUUGCGGGAGUCCAUGCACUUAUAUAUGCAUUAUUAUACCCUCCACCAUACAUAGUAUGGAGGGUAUAUUAAGUUUGUCAUUCCGUUUGUAACACCUCGAAAUAUACAUUUUAGACCCCACAAAGUAUAUAUAUUCUUGAUCAGCGUAAAAUUAGUUUACUCUAUUAUAGUGAACAGUACUUUUUUUGGUUUGCGUUCCAUAUUUUAUUAACGUACUUUAUGUGUCCUCUUUUUUAUUGCUGGUUCUCGUUGUCCACUAUGUUGAUUUGUUUAAAGUCAUAGAAGCGCAGGUGAGGUUUUAAAUGAAGAAAAUCGUUAAGACAGUAAGUAGUAAUUUCGGCCGUGCCGAACUAUUUAUACCCUUAACCACUAUGUUUAUCAAUGUUGAUUGUGGCAGAAACUUUCAAAAUACCGAAAUUCGGGAGGUACCGAUGUAUGGGGGCUAUACGGAAACGGGGACCAGCAUAGGCAAUUUUCUAUCAUAGGCUGUAAUACCCAUUUCGGACUUCAAAUACGAAAUUUGGAACAGUUCCGGUUAAUAAUGUCGCUAAAAUCAUCAAAAUACCGAAUAUCGGGAUGUACCGUUAUAUGGGUGCUAUACGAAGCCGUGGACCUGAAUGUGCAAUUUUGUGUCAUAUGCUGUAGAACCUAUUCCGAACUUCAUAUACGAAAUUUGGAACAGUUCCGGUUAAUAUGUAGCUUAAAUCAUCGAAAUACCGAAUAUUGGGAGGUACAGUUAUAUGGGAGCUAUACGAAAACGUGGGCCGACAUGAACGAACUUAACAUGCCUACUGACAAAAUAAACAUGUGUGCAAAAUUUUAGCCUUCUAUCUCAUUUCGUUCGAAUGAUAGCGUAAUUACAACAGACAGACAGACGGACAUCGAUAAAUCGACUUAGAAUUUUACGAUGAUCCAAAAUAUAUACACUUUGUGGGGUCUAACAUGAGAAUUUCGAGGAGUUACAAACGGAAUGACAAACUUAAUAUACCCUCCAUAGUAUGGCGGAGGGUAUAAAAACACUUUCUAUUAAAGUUUCGAUUUUAACACUUAGGCAGAAAAGGAAACUUGUUGAACUAAGUUUUAAUAACAGCAGCAUUUGGGGUAAUUGGGACCAGGCAAGGCUAAAUUCAAUCAAACAAAAUAAUGCACAUAUAAGUGCAUUCACUCUUAUGAUCAGUGCACACGAUCCAUAUAUAGGCCGACUCUUAUCGCGGAGUUCGUACGGCGCGACAUUCAAAACCUCAUAGAGAGAGAGACCCCACAAAGUAUAUAUAUUCUUGAUCAGCGUAAAAUUCUAUGUCGAUUUAUCGAUGUCCGUCCGUCCGUCCGUCUGUGGAAAUCACUCUUGCUUCCGAACGAAAUGACAUAGGUUGAUGAAAUUUUGCUCAGAUGUAUAUAAUGUGUGCAGGACUUUUGGCAUUGAAAAUGGGCCAUAUAGGUCGACGUCUUCGUAUAGCCCCCAUAUAACGGUACCUCCCGAUAUUCGGUAUUUUGAUGAUUUUAGCAAAAUUUUUCACCGGAAUUGUUUCAAAUUUCGUAUUUAAUUUUCGCAAUGGGUACUACAACCUAUGCCAGUAAAAUAUCUACGCAGAUCCACAUCUUCGGAUAGCCCCUAUAUAACGGUACCUCCCGAUAUUCGGUAUUUUGAUGAUUUUAGCGACAUUUUUCACCGGAAUUGUUUCAAAUUUCGUAUUUAAUUUUCUCAAUGGGUACUACAACCUAUGCCAGUAAAAUAUCUACGCAGAUCCACAUCUUCGGAUAGCCCCCAUAUAACGGUACCUCCCGAUAUUCGGUAUUUUGAUGAUUUUAGCGACAUUUUUCACCGGAAUUGUUUCAAAUUUCGUAUUUAAUUUUCACAAUGGGUACUACAACCUAUGACAGAAAAUGGCCUAUGUAGGUCCACAUCUUCGGAUAGCCCCCAUAUAACGGUACCUCCCGAUGUUCGGUAUUUUGGUGAUUUUAGCGACAUUUUUCACCGGAAUUGUUUCAAAUUUCGUAUUUAAUUUUCGCAAUGGGUACUACAACCUAUGACAGAAAAUGGACUAUGUAGGUCCACAUCUUCGGAUAGCCCCCAUAUAACGGUACCUCCCGAUGUUCGGUAUUUUGGUGAUUUUAGCGACAUUUUUCACCGGAAUUGUUUCAAAUUUCGCAUUUAAUAUUCGCAAUGGGUACUACAACCUAUGCCAGUAAAAUAUCUACGCAGAUCCACAUCUUCGGAUAGCCCCUAUAUAACGGUACCUCCCGAUAUUCGGUAUUUUGAUGAUUUUAGCGACAUUUUUCACCGGAAUUGUUUCAAAUUUCGUAUUUAAUUUUCUCAAUGGGUACUACAACCUAUGCCAGUAAAAUAUCUACGCAGAUCCACAUCUUCGGAUAGCCCCCAUAUAACGGUACCUCCCGAUAUUCGGUAUUUUGAUGAUUUUAGCGACAUUUUUCACCGGAAUUGUUUCAAAUUUCGUAUUUAAUUUUCGCAAUGGGUACUACAACCUAUGACAGAAAAUGGACUAUGUAGGUCCACAUCUUCGGAUAGCCCCCAUAUAACGGUACCUCCCGAUGUUCGGUAUUUUGGUGAUUUUAGCGACAUUUUUCACCGGAAUUGUUUCAAAUUUCGUAUUUAAUUUUCGCAAUGGGUACUACAACCUAUGACAGAAAAUGGACUAUGUAGGUCCACAUCUUCGGAUAGCCCCCAUAUAACGGUACCUCCCGAUGUUCGGUAUUUUGGUGAUUUUAGCGACAUUUUUCACCGGAAUUGUUUCAAAUUUCGCAUUUAAUAUUCGCAAUGGGUACUACAACCUAUGCCAGUAAAAUAUCUACGCAGAUCCACAUCUUCGGAUAGCCCCUAUAUAACGGUACCUCCCGAUAUUCGGUAUUUUGAUGAUUUUAGCGACAUUUUUCACCGGAAUUGUUUCAAAUUUCGUAUUUAAUUUUCUCAAUGGGUACUACAACCUAUGCCAGUAAAAUAUCUACGCAGAUCCACAUCUUCGGAUAGCCCCCAUAUAACGGUACCUCCCGAUAUUCGGUAUUUUGAUGAUUUUAGCGACAUUUUUCACCGGAAUUGUUUCAAAUUUCGUAUUUAAUUUUCGCAAUGGGUACUACAACCUAUGACAGAAAAUGGCCUAUGUAGGUCCACAUCUUCGGAUAGCCCCCAUAUAACGGUACCUCCCGAUGUUCGGUAUUUUGGUGAUUUUAGCGACAUUUUUCACCGGAAUUGUUUCAAAUUUCGCAUUUAAUAUUCGCAAUGGGUACUACAACCUAUGCCAGUAAAAUAUCUACGCAGAUCCACAUCUUCGGAUAGCCCCCAUAUAACGGUACCUCCCGAUGUUCGGUAUUUUGGUGAUUUUAGCGACAUUUUCGCCAGAAUUGUUUCAAAUUUCGCAUUUAAUAUUCGCAAUGGGUACUACAACCUAUCUAUGCAGGUCCACAUCUUCGCUUAGCCCCCAUAUAACGGUAUCUCCCGAUAUUCUGUAUUUUUUCAUUUUAGCUUUAUUUUUCGACGGAUUUUUUAAAAUUUCAAAUUCCUUCUAAAUGAUGGAGGGUAUUAAAGGUUCGGCCCGGCCGAAAUUGGCUGCUUAUUUACUUGUUUUGUGUAAAUAAUUCAGCCUUUCCUGGUCCAAACUACCCCAAAUGCUGCUGUUAUUAAAAUUUAGUUCAACAAGUUUCCUUUUCUGCCUAAGUGUUAAAACCGAAAUUUUAAUAGAAUGUGUUUAUACCCUACACCACAUAGUGGUAAGGGUAUUAUGUAUUUGUGAAUUUGUUGGUAACAGAGAGAAAUAAGCGAGAUAGACCCAUGGUUACUUUUGAAGGUAUUCAUAGAAUCAUUUUUUAAAUCGAUUUAUGCAUGUCCGUCCAGGUAUUCUUGUGAACAAAAUGCAGGUCGUAUUUAUUAUCCGAUUGAGAUGUAAUUUUGCAAACAAUGUUUGUUUGGUUUGGAUCAGAUUUAGAUAUAGCUCCCAUAUAUAUCUUCAUCCGAUUUUUGGUUUAUUGUGCACAACCUGUGCAAUAAUACCCCAAAUGGGAUGAAAUUUGGCAAAUGUAGCCGAUGUACACCAAGAAUUAACUCUGCGGGAUUUGGUGAAAAUCGGAUGUGAUUUAGAUAUAGCUCCCACAUAUAUCUUGAUCCGAUUUUUUGUUUAUUGUGCACAGCCUGUGCAAUAUCAGCCCAAAGGGGAUGAACUUUAGCACAUGUAGUCGGUGUACACCAAGAAUUAACUCUAUGAAAUUUGGUGAAAAUCGGAUCUGAUUCAGAUAUAGCUCCCAUAUAUAACUUCAUCCGAGUUUUGAUGCAUUGUGCACCAAAUGUGCAAAUUAGCCCAAAAGGCAUGAAAUUUGACACAUAAGGUCGAGUGAAGGCUAUAAAAACCCAAUGCAAUUUUGUGCACAUAACAGCAGUGGUGUAGGGUGUCAUAUAGUCGGCUCCGUCCGGGUUGAUGUUGGGCUGUAGGUGAGUUCUAAGGCUGGAUUUUUGACGUUUGGAAGGGUACGAAAAGCAACCGAGAAGAGCUACAGCUCUGCAAUUUGGAUACAGCGUCACCGAUGGUGUGUAGGAUAGAUGUGACAAAUCGUUUUUGGAAAUUUGUACCAAAAGGGUACGAAAACUUCUAAUAUGUACUUUAAAUGUUACUAUUCGUAUGUUAUGAAUGAAUGGAUCUAGAAUCGUCGAAUUUGGUAUGAGAAUCAAUAAUGGAAAGCUCUCUAUAGUUAUAUAAAGAAGUUUUGGAAAACGAGAGCAAUAAGUGUUGGAAUACUUCUAAAUAGGAUAUAAUUGUUGAGUAGAGAAAGGUGGGUGGAUAUAUGGAGAUGUUUUAAAAAACGAGUACCAUAAUUGACCAAAAAGUACUUAAUAAUGUACAAUUCGAACGUAAAUAUAAUGAGUGGAGGUGGAAAUUCGUAAUUUUGUGUUAGGGUGGAAAGGUAGAGAUCUUUUGGAAAAGGAGUAUCAUAAGAGUUGCAAAAGUACUGAAUAUGGUAGAGAUGCAAAUCGAAAUGUUGUGUUAGAUGGAUAUAUGGAAAUGUUUUGAAAAAAGGGUACCAUUACUGUUGGAAAAGUACUAUAUAAGGUAUAAUUUAAUAGUAAAUGAAGGAGUAGUGUUGAAAAUCCGAAAGUAUAUGAACUUAGCCAUAUUGAGUGACUACAAAUCGCAUUUUUUUCUGACGUUGGAAUAUAUUUAGGGAAUAAUAGAUUGGGUGGUCUAAUCCCAUUUUUGAUGGCGAAUUCAGAAAUCUCACACCUCCAAAUGGGACAACAGUGGACCCAAAAGUAUAUGGACUUAGCCAUAUUGGGUGAAAAUGAAUUCAAAUCGGAAUUUUUUUACUUUUGCUUAAUUCAGAGUUCCGAUUUGCUUGCGAGCGAUUAUUACUCGCUCGAGGAAGCGAUCAAAAAGUGAGAGCGAUUGCUCCAGUUUCGCUUUCCGAUCGAAUUCGUGCAAGAAACACAGAGUAUGUUUAUGCUCUGCUUAGCAUAUUUUAUCGUUAAAUUAUUUUUUGUAAAGGAAGAAAAGAUUGAAGACGCGUAUUUGAAAAUGAAUCUAUAAUAAUUAUUAGUCCCAAUUUUUUUUACUUUAAUUUUACGUAUUCUUCAAUAGAUGUAAAAUAACCCUCUCUAUAAAACAAAACUUAAAACUUUUAUUUUAUUAGUUAAUUUUUUAAAAUUUCGUUGAAAGUUUUUUUUUUAGUUCAACAUGUUUUCCCUAGUAAAGUUUGACAAUGACGGUGACUUCUAUGUUGUCAAAACAAAAGACGUGAAGCAUCACAAUUCCGACAAUUGUAUUGUAAAGUAUAAAGGCUGUUCGUACUCCGCAACUUUCAUUAAAGCUGACGAUAAUAAAGAAAAUCUUGAAGAGAAGAAACAAAGUGAGAAUUUAAUGGGGACAAUAAACGCGGAGAAUCAAGAAACACAAAUAGCACCAAGAAUUCCUGCGAGCCGUGGUCGUGCUUAUCAAAAUAUUUCACCGUCGACAAUGUUAUACAUGAAAGAGUAUAUAAAAAAUCUACCUCCACUAGGAUCAAACAGAUCAGAUAAAGAGCCUAUGUCUUCAGUCACUAUACAUGGUGAAAAUAACGCAUCGGAUUCGGAAGAGAAUAAUACGACAGAUUUUUCAUCUUUUGAAACUAUAUCAAGAGGACAAUUUGAUUUAUCAAGAUUAUUUAAAUUCUCCUUGAUCACAUAUGACGAUUCAGAAUUUUGUGUCGUAAAUUCCAAAUCUAUAACACAAAUCCAAGGAGGUACGUGUGUGGUGAAAUGUAAAGGCGGAAAAUAUGCAGCUAAAUUAAUUUCGACUAGCGAUACUUCUUGCGGAAAAACAAAAAAAUGCCGGUGGACAAUCGAUGAGCAAGAAGCUUUGACUGCUGAAUUUGGGGAUAUUUCUUCAAUGGAAAAGUUGCCAUCUCUCAAGGAGUGCAUGAGGGUCGUGUCUGAAAAUGAAGUGCUAUGCUGCAGAACCCCAGCACAAGUAAAAACGUUUAUAGACAACAAAAGGAAAAAAGGCAAAAAAAAUUAAGCAAUCUCUUCAACAAUAAUUUUCCAAAACCCUUUUCGGGUAGUUAUUUUACAAUGCAAUGUUGUUAAAUUAAUAUAUGCACAAUGUGCACUAAAUCUUGUAUUAAUUUCAUAUUGUAGAUACAAAAUAUUUGACCAACAAUUUUUCCAUUAGGUCUUAUAGUAAAUUAUUAUACACAUUAUAAUAUAAUUAUAAAUGUAUACUUAUAUAAACAAAAAUAAGUCAUAUAAUUUAAUACAAACCGCUUUAUUUAUACACAAAUAUAAAAACUUCAAAUGUUUAUUUAAAAUUAAGAGUGCAAUAAAAUUGCACUAUAACUCUAACUGUAUUAUAAAUAUAUAAAAUAUUUAAUAAUA